UGGUGGAGUGAUUUGUCUGGUUAAUUCCGUUAACGAACGAGACCUCAACCUGCUAACUAGUUACGUGAUAAAAGCGUAUACUUCUUAGAGGGACUAUAUGUGCAAGCAUAUGGAAGUUUGAGGCAAUAACA
rnacentral:rRNA from 1 species